rnacentral:lncRNA from 1 species
GCUGCUGGAGCUUAUUAUGAGAAUCUGCCCGAUGAGGAGAAGAGAAAUGCCAGAUUUUCUUUCAAUGAAAUGGACAAAAACAAAGACGGGAAAAUUAACCUAGAUGAAUACGUGGAGUAUCUCAAGAAAGAUAACAACACGGUUCUUCCAAGCUUGUUUACAGCGCUGGACAAGGAUGGCAAUGGAACCUUGGAUUUUGAUGAAGCAAUCGUCUUGUACUACAUCAUGCAGAGUGGAAGGGCUAUAAUUUGCCAGUCUUGUAAGACGUUCUUGGCAGGAGCAUACUUCACUUGCUCUCAGUGUUUCUUCAAUGAUGAUGAUUCAGUUAGCACCUUUGAUGUUUGUUGUGAUUGUUAUGGUGGUAAAAAGUUCAGACACAACGAUGGGCACAUCUUCUGCGAUAACUAUACUUUACUUUGUCGAAGCAGGAGCGCGACACAAGCGGCCCCCAUUCAGGUAAUUAAUUUUAGAAACUAAAACAAUAAGAUAUUUUUACUAUUUAUUACUAUACAUUUGCCAAAAUUCACUGAUAACUCAUUGUUUAUGGAGCAUUACGUAUGGAGUUUCCUUCAACAUUGGGUUUUGUUUUAUUAUUAUAUUUCUUCUCUGCUUUACAUUUGAAUUCCCAUUCUUCGUAUUGAUUGAAGUUCUUUAAUUCUCUGGAUGAAGAGAUUAAUUAUAUUUUCAAGACUGGCUUCAAAAUAACUAGUGGAAUCCUCAUAUUUUCAUUAAUACAAAUAUUCUCUCCAUCUAAUUGAUAAAUAAAUACUAUAUUAAGUAUAAAAAUAUGUUUGCUUAUAAAAAUAUGAACUCAGCCUCUAAUAUAUCUGCGUAUUAUCUUUUAUUUCAGAAGCGAACCAAGGUGCUUAACAUCCUUAAAAAGGGACUGCAAGUUGCAGGCAUAACUAGUAGUGAUCUUGAAGGCAUAAGUACUGAUAUUGGUGAUGGUAUUGGUGAUGGUGAAGGUUCAUCAAAAUCUAACUGUAGCAUUAUGUGAAAGAAACCAAUGAUGCAUUUUAUCACCAGCCAAAUGCAUCCAAUCGUACAAUAAAUAUUGCCGAUGAGGUAAGAGGAAAUGACUGAAAAUUUACUGGAAACUCUUCAAGUGGGCUCAGAUCCGGUAGAGAAUAAACUCAAGUUACUUUAUAUUGCUGUAUCUUGUUUGUGGCAAUAAUUGUAUUCUCAUGCAUUCGAUCUCCAUAGUCUCAUGUGAACUUUUGGAGGGCAUUGAGAACUUGUUUAAUCUUAAGCUGCUUUUGUGUAAAAUAUCAUGUGGUUAAUGAAGCUUUUCUAGUAAAAUCAUUGAGCACCAUCACAACUGAUUUCAUUUCAUGCAAGACUAACUCAUAUACACAUGGCUUCCGGAUGAAGCGAGACAUUAUCGUGGUACGUGUAUUUUAAAAUUAUGUUUGACUCGAAAUUUAAUGCUUCUGUGGGUUAAUGACCAUGGUUUUAAAAGAUGAGUUCCUCUAGGCAUAGGCUGGAUCCAGUCCAUGAUUCAUGAAUUAAGCGAGUUGACCCAGGAGUGAACCGAUCAAAAGUAAAACAAUGAUGAGUUCCUCUAGGCAUAGCACCCCUAUUUUUUCAUUAUGUCGUUUGAAUUCCUACUUUUCUACUAACAAAUAAUGAAUAAUAGUUAUAUAAUCUCACCGUAAAACAAUUGUUUUAUGGAAAUUCAAAGUUUAAAGCUGCUGCUACUUCUACCAUCUUAAAUGCCAUGCUAAUCUUGGACUAAAAGUGCUCGACUAUUAGUUGGGUGUGGAAACAAAUCCUUAAAGUUUGUGUAUUGCUACGUUGGUAAACCUCAUCCAUUUGCAGAUUCUUGAUAUACUAGAAUGGUUUUAUUCUAAGGGUUUUCAUCGAAUAACAUUAACAUAAGCUGCACAUUAAAAAUCUUAAUAUAUAAAGGUUGAUCAAAACAACAUGAAACUAGAAGUAUAACAACACAAUCAACAGAACCUGGACAGAGAUCAACUAUUGUCUUGUAAAAAAAAAUAUAUAAGAAGCUGCUUUAAUUCGCUAUCAGAAAAUUAGCAAAUAAUAAUGGAAUUACUGACGGAAAAUAUUAUAUUAGUAAUGUUGUAAAUAUGGAGAAGUUAGAGGUGGAAGCAGCUUAUGAUACCAAAGAUAAUAGGAUUAAAGAGUAGCAACAAUUCACUCACAUAAAUAAUGUUCUAUACUCACCUUUUAAAGGUACAAAAUCAUAGAGAUAUAAAGUUAUGAGUUUAAAUUUUAUAACUCGCAGGGAGAUAUAAAAUUGAAUAGGGUGUCAAAAGAUAAAGUUAAAGACUUUUACUCAAAUUUUCACCAAAUAUGUUUAGUACACAGUACAAAUGAUCAUUAUAUCCUUGAAACAACCCUCCAAAUUUAGAGAAAAACAAAAAUGACAUAAUUGAGAUCAAAAUAAAUAACUUUGACUUGAAUCUAGACAAAUAAUAACUAACACAUAUUUUUGACUUGUUGAAAAUAUAAACAAAUACAUAAAAAAUUUAAAAACUAAAACAAUCACUACUACAUCAUAAAAGAAUAAUUAUUCUUAACGCCAUCAUGCUGAACUUUCCUAUCAUAUUACAUGAAUGACCAAACAACAAAUAACAUGCAUCCAUAUGAAUUAUAUCACACCACUAUUUGUUUUUCAAAGAAAAAUAAAACAAGACAUCUAUUUGUUACUUUAUGUUCAUGCUUCUUUUCCUACCAUCUCAAUUUGUAGGGAUGAGGAUAUGCUUCCAUCUUAAGGUUGAGAUUGCUUACCAUAUCAGUAGAUACAACAUUAGUAGAAGCACCAAUUUAUAAAUAAAUAAAAUAAGAGAUGUCUAAUUUAUUUUAUAGAGAUUAAUAGUAUUAUUUAGAUUCAAUAAAAAUACCUGAAAAAUUUCUCUAGAUUUCUAUACAGUUUGAUUUGUAACCUUAAAGCUAGAGAACCAUCUCCAUGACGAUGAUCAAGGGAUACAGGCUGUGUCAGGUGGAAAUUUUUCUCUAGUUUUAUCUUCGCUAUAUGUUGUGUCAGGUGGUAUUAGAGCAGGUCAACAUCCGGAUCAAAGGCAAAUCGUGAAGAGAAUUGUGGAGUAGUUGGCCAAUACAAUCUCUAUGAUGAUGAUCAGGAGAUGCAGGUUGUUUGAGAUCAACUAAAUCAUUAUUCAUUAAUGAUAGCAGCUUUAGAGGGGCAAAUGCAAACUAGGUUGGGUGAAACAUUCUCAUGUAUUAAAAUUAUUUUUAACAAGCAGCUUGUAUUUUAAUAUCAAACACUCAACCCUGAUUUUUGGCACUUGAGAAUACAAUCUCUUUAUCAGUAACAACAUAUUAAUUUUAUACAAUGAAAUUUAAUUGAAAAUUGGAGCCCCUAAGCAACUAAAUAUUAAUUUUAUACUAUGAAAUCUAAUGCAUGUGUGGGUUAAUGACCUAUGGUCAUGGUUUUAAAAGAUGAGUCGAGUCUCCUUUCACUACUAAAAAAUAUAGUAAUUAGCAACUAACUAAUCCGUUGCAAAUAACAUUAAAAUCCGUUGCUAAAACAAUUUAGCAACGGAAUCAGCAACGACAAAUAUCAUAUGCAAAUUUGUCGUUGCUGAUUUUUUAGCAACGGAAUCAGCAACGGCAAAUAUCAUAUGCAAAUUUGUCGUUGCUGAUUUUUUAGCAACGGAAAUUCCAUUGCUAAAAUUAGCAACGGAUUUUUCGUUGCUAAUUUAGCAACGGAAAAUCCGUUGCUGGUUUUGUGAAUCAGCAACGGAUUAUCCGUUGCUGAUUGAUGAAUUAUUUACAAUCAGCAACGGAUUAUCCGUUGCUGACUAUAUUAUUUUUAAUAAAUUAAUUUUUUAUUUAUUUAUCAAAAUGACUUUUAAUUUAUUUAAUUAAUUAUUUAUGGAUAUUUUAAAAAUUGUGGAAUAUAUAUAACCAACAUAAAUUAAUAUUAAAAAUAAUUGUAUCACUAAUAAAAAAUGGAAUAAAAAUAAUAUUCAUAUUAUAAAAAUUUAGUUAAACUUGAAUUAAUACAAAUAAGUUGAAAUACAAUAAAAAAAAACAACAAAAGAUACAAUCAUGGUGCUGGUUGCGGAGACGAACCAUGAUAUUUUGGAUCUACACAAAAUGAACCAGGAUAUAGUGGUCAAGGUGGAGUAACCAGGAGAUUGAAUCUGAACAGAGUUUCCUCCAUAGGGACUGCUUGCAUUAUUCAUUGAAUUUUGGUGGAGAAGCCCCACAAUAGUGCUGGCAGACGUGGUUGUAGAUGCUGUGGUGAGUGAGUUAUUUACACUAGCCAUACCAUUGCUAGCAGUGAUUUGCAUUGGGACUUGGGCUGAACUUCGAUCACUAUUUGAGUUAAAAAAAUACAGCAAUUCUUGCACAUCCUCAUUAAAAAAAAACAGAUAAAAGGAAUAAAAGAUGAAAAAGGAGCAGAGGACUGGCUUGGAUUCUAUAAGAGCAGUUGCACAGUAUAAUCUCCACAUAUGGAAAAAUAACCAUCCCUUACAUCUCCACAAUAAUCAAAUUCUGCAGCUGGAAAAAACUAUAUUAAAAAAAAGCAGAUGACAAAAACACACAGAAAAUUUCUCCAGAACUGCAUAAAGUGGAUAGCUGAACCAGCCACCAAAUCUAACAAAACUGGACCAGUUAUAGCGUCAGCUCAUACUCAGCGCCCACUGUAAUAAGAGCGCUGGUAAUCAGUAAUAGACGCAUAAUUAUCACCCAAAGAACAAGUUUAUCUGGGUUUUAAACUCUUCAAUAAAUCAAAGUGCAUCUUAAAGAGGCUGUGAAUACAAAACAAAUAUGUAGUACCUGCUUCACCCUUACAAGUACACUGGUUUUCAAAUCAAUAAAUAUAGUAAUCUAUCAGUAAGGAAAUACAAAAUUUCCAAUGCAAGUCAGAGCAUCUGCUAAUUGACUUUUAACAAUAUUAUCAAGCAGUAACAGUUUACAAAAUUGAGCAAUCAUACCCUAUCAGCAUCCAUCUCCUUCGUAAAAUUUGAUGGCUUCACAAAUCUCCUCCCUGCAAUCAAAGUUUAGAGAUUUAUUUAUUUAAUUUUCUUGAAACUAAUAAAUAAAAAAGCAUAGUUUAAGAGAUUGCAAGGAAGCAAACAAUCUGACCUUUGCGGAUGUGAGUGAUUUUUCCAUGGCAAUUAGGUGGGAAAGGAUCUCUCAAGGCAUGAAAAAUAAAUUACACAAAAAAACUGCAGAGCUAACACUCAAUUCAACCAGCCACCUUGCUCCUAAAGAACACCCAGCAUCAAUAAGACUACUUGUUAAAAAUUAAAUUGGGGGUUUUGAUAAAUUUUCAAUUAAACAUGCAUAAUUUCCAUCAAUCACUCUCUUCCAGACACAUGAAUUACCAGCAUUGGUCCAGUUGCCUAAAAUCAUUCAAUUUAUGAACCGUAACCCUAAAAAUUAAAUUGGGGGUUUUGAUAAAUUUUCAAUUAAACAUGCAUAAUUAGGUUAUAGAUCAUGGUAAAAACAUUUCAUAAACCUUAUAUUAUCGAAUUAAUAGCCUAAAACCAUUAUUCAAAGUAUCGACAAAAAAAAAUUGUUACCUGUGUUCUUGAGUUAUAGAUGAGCGAGAUGAAUCUACACGACAGAACAACACCUGAGAUUGUGAAAGUUAGGUUAAAACUUGUUAGUGUAAGUUAAAUUGCAACGGAGAAAAAUAUAAAUCCUAAAUUAAUUACCUGAUUUAUUGAAGAAGAGAGUGCAAAACCCAACCCGUUUACAAAGAGAAAGGGUGAUAAUGAUGGGUCUGGUGCGAUGUUGCCAUGGGUCUGUGUUUUUGGUGGUUUACAGAGAAAGAUUGAAACUGUUAAGAUGAAGGAGAAGAAGAUGAAGGAAAAAAAAUUAACAAUGCUGAAAACGAAUGAGAAGAAGAUGAAAAGUUUGGGACAAAAGGAAAAUCAGUUAUUGGUUUUGUUUAAUUUUGAAAAAAAAUUAACCCAACUGUGUUUUCAACUGUUGGUUUUGUUUUCUCUAUUUAGAAACCGUGGGGGGGGGUGUUAGGGACGAAGGAGACUGGGAAUUAAUUAAUUGUCAACUGUUGGUUUUUUCUUUGUUUAGAAACGGGGGGGCAGGUGUUGAAUUAGUAGGGGGGCAAAAUUAAACGGUUGUGAUUUUAUUAUAUCAAAAAUAAUCAACGGUCUAUAUAAUUUUAAUUUUAUAUUAAUAUUUAAAUAAUUAUUUUUUAAAUUAGCAACAGAUAAUCCGUUGCAAACUUUUCCGUUGCUAAAGUCUGUUGCUAAUAUUAAAAAAAUAAUAUAUAUUUAAUCCGUUGCAAAUCUGUUACUGAAUUUAGCAACAGAAUUAUCCGUUGCUAAAUUCAGAUGCUAAUGGCCCCUGUUUUUAGUAGUGUUUAGGCAUAGCUAAGAGACUGGAUCUUGUUCAUGCGAUUUGACCCACGAGUGAACUGGUAAAAAGUAAAACAUUCAGGUGUCGGGUUCAGUUUUACGAGUGAACUGGUAAAAAGGAAAAACUCUAUCCUGGCUAGAUUCAGUUUUGUCAUGUUCCUUGGAAAAAUGCAACUCGGCUUUUCAUGACUUUGAUACGUGAACCGUGUUUUAUGCGGUGUGAGAUAGUGGAAUUAUUGAAGAUACAACUUCACUUCAAUUCUUUAAUAUUUUUUCGUUGUGUGGUCUCUUUAAUAGUAGUUUUUUUUUUUUUGGUUGAUAGAGAAGGGUCGAGGAGAAAUAAAUUAUUGAUGGGUACGGUGGAAUAAAAGAAAGGAUGAUCUUGUCUCCAAAAGCAAAUUUGUGGGAUGGAUUGGUGUGGUUCCUUUACGCCUAGGACACCAGAAUAUCUAAAAAGGCAUGAGACGAAGAAAGGCAUGAGAGAAAAGCAUAUUGCACAUAUUGGCUAGUGAUUGUGAGGCCCCAAUUCUUGACUGGGCAUAGUUGUAGAUGAGCUUUGAGUGGCGGCUGCAGCUUGAAAAAGAAAAGGGUGUAUGUAUAGCGAACCAAGGUGCUUAAAAUCCUUAAAAAGGGACUGCUAGUUGCGGGCAUAAAUAGUGAUCUUGGGUGAUGGUGAUGGUGGUGAUGGUUUAUCAAGAUCUAACUGUAGCAUUAUGUGAAAGAAACCAAUGAUGCAUUUUAUCACCAGUCAAAUGCAUCCAAUAGCAGAAUAUAUAAUUAGCGAUGAGGUAAGAGGAAAUGACUGAAAAUUUACUGGAAACUCUUCAAGUGAGCUCAGAUCCAGUAGAGAAUAAACUCAAGUUACUUUAUAUAGAGCUGUAUCUUUUUUGUGGCAAUUGUAUUCUCAUGCAUUCGAUCUCCAUAGUCUCAUGUGUGCUUUUGGAGGGCAUUGAGAACUUGUUACUUCUUUUUUUUUUUGAUAAUGUAGGUGUCCGGGUUAGCUUACACGCACCUCGACUAAUCCCACAGGCCUUAAAAUUAACGACCAUAAAAACCUUCAAUAAUCCUGAGAUUUUUGAGACUCGAACUCAUGAUCUCCAGAGAGAACUUGUUACUUUAAUCUUAUGUUGUUUUUGUGUAAAAUCGUGUAGUUAAUGACGCUUUUGUAGUAAAAUGAUUGAGCACCAUCACAAGUGAUUAACUCUAAAUAGAGAUAUAGACAUGACUGCACGAUAAAAUGAGAUACUUAUUGUGUUUAUUUUGACUUGGAAAAAAUAUUAAAUUUAUAUUUUUUAAUGUUUUUUAAUAAUUUUUAUUUGUUCAUGUUAAAUUUAUUUUUAAAAAAAUCAUUCUCAUGUAUUAAAAUUAUUUUUAACAAGCAGCUUGUAUCUUAAUAUAAAACACUCAACCCUGAUUUUCGGCACUUGAGAAUACAAUCUCUUUAACAGUAACAACAUAUUAAUUUUAUACAAUGAAAUUUAAUUGAAAAUUGGAGCUCCUAAGCAACUAAAUAUUAAUUUUAUACAAUGAAAUCUAAUGCAUGUGUGGGUUAAUGACCUAUGGUCAUGGUUUUAAAAGAUGAGUUGAGUCUCCUUUAGGCAUAGCUAAGAGACUGGAUCCUGUUCAUGCGAGUUGACCCACGAGUGAACUGGUAAAAAGUAAAACAAUGUUACAACACUUCUUUUUAUUCUGCCGUUUCAAUUUUCCUUCUUUUCUACUAACAAAUAAUGAAUAAUUGUUAUAUAAUCUCACUUUUUUUUUUUUAUUUUGUUUUAUGUAAGUUCAAAAUUUAAAGCUGCUAAUCCGCACAUUGUUUUUAUUUUUUGAACACAUAGUUUUUUUUUCCUUUUCUUUUUGUUUCUUUGUUAUGAUUUAAAAAAUAUAUAUUUUUAUCAAUUUUAUUUUUUAAUAUUGAAAUGGUUAAGAAUUUAAUUUUGUAAUUUUUUUUCUUUUCUUUUGUCUUUCUAUGAGGUUAGCGUGGUUUCCGGGUUUGUCAAGGGAACCCACGUUAUCCCAAUUUAUGGAUUUGGUGGCGUUUUUUUUUAAUUAAACUUGAUUUUUUAUAGUCUAUUUUUUUCUUAUAUUGUUAAUAAGAAAAUAGUUUUAUAGAAAAACCAUAUUAUUAAACUUUAUGAAGUAACAAAAACUAAAGGAUAUGGGGAAAACCAUUGUUCAUCCAACACUCAUUGUGGAUUACAAUAGUAAUCCACAAUGUUUUGCUUUCUUUUUUCUGUUUUUUUUUUUUUUUGAAUUUUUGCUAUGAUUUUUUUUCAAAUCUAUUUUUGUCGUUUUUAUCUUUUCAAAUAUGGUGGGAUUUGAGCCCUCUUGCAAAAUAAUUAAAUGUGUUAAGGCCUCCUCUCGAUGCUCCAAUGGACCUCUAAUUUCUGCAUUGGCCGAAACUUGCAAGGCUAGUCUAUUUAAUACUUCUUUCAAUGCCUUUAUUUUGGACCUUGUAAUUGGCCCAUUUAAAACAUGCAAUAGAUACUUACUGGUGUUCGUGGGCUGAUCCACAUUAAUUAUGGUUACGACAAAACCCUAAUUAGUUUUUAGAGUUCUAAGAUAAGGGGUACUUGUUACGUUAAAGGAAAUGUAUUACCACCCUAAAGUAUCGUACCUAUAGUAAAUUCCAUUGCUACUUGUCUUUUAUCCCUAAUAGUCUAUUAUGCCCAAUCUACCGAUGGUGUAUCCACAUGGAUCUAUUGUAAUGAGUUAAACCUACUGUAGGUUUUAUUCCUAUCCGUUCUAAAGUUCUAGUUAUUCUUGUUACUUCCAAUUUGUUUGGGGAAUUGAUAUUUAUAUCCCUAUUUACUCCAGAUCAUGACCCGUGAUUAUUAAUAGUUUAUAAAGCCAUGCUAGUGAAUAAUUGAACGGGUCUAUGUUAGGUUCAUUAAACCCAGUUCAAAUCCUAGGAUGAGAUGUCGCCAAACAAUUUGUUUGGGAAUUGAUAUUUAUAUCCCUAUUUACUCCGGAUCAUGACCCGUGAUUAUUAAUAGUUUAUAAAGCCAUGCUAGUGAAUAAUUGAACGGGUCUAUGUUAGGUUCAUUAAACCCAGUUCAAAUCCUAGGAUGAGAUGUCGCCAAACAAUUUGUUUAUGCAACGGUGCUCUAUGGAUAAUGCCCCGUUCAAGUUCAUUUAUCCUAUAGUACCAGGGUCUACUCGUAAUUUUUACUGAAUAAGGGUUUUGUACCCUGAUCCUAAAAUGUCCAAGCAUUAACUAUUGUGGGUUAAUCUACUUAGGGAGUGUUUGGGUGGGAGGUUUUUUUUAAAGGUACAACCCUUUUAAAGCACACACAACACCUCCUAAAAGCAAAGAAUAUAUGUUUUUCAAUGAAAAAAAACCACCACACCUCCCACCAAAACACACAUUAGUGGUGGGAUCUAGUGGCACACAUACUUUAGGCAAUAUUGGACUUAGAUAUUUUUAAGACUUGUUUUUUUAUUUAAAAUCAAAAGAAACAACUAAUACUUUUAAUAUAAAAUGUAAUGAUCCAUGUUGAGUCCAUUUACCCUAAAUACCAAGAGUGAAUAGUAAAACACAUUUUGACCUAAUUUUAAAACAACAAGGAUGAGUUGUAAAGGCUUGGAACAUAAUAUUAAACAUGGCUUAACAUAAAAAUAAUAUCUUGCAGGUCAAUUCAAAAUCCUUACGAUCUAGAGCUUGAUUUAUAUUUUAUUUUAUUUUAAAUUAUUUUUUGAUAUUAACUUAGUUACAUUUGGAUGACUCAACAUAUUGAUUCAUAACUUGGUUAUGUACGGCUCAUGUGAAUUGUAUUUUGAUGUUUGGAAAUUCAUUAUUUAUGAUUGUGCACAUUGCAGCUUUUUUAGGAAAGAGAGAUGAUGACAAAAUAAACUAUCACAGGAUGUUUAUGUGAAAGGAGUCGAAGAUACCUUUUGCAAUACGCAAGUUGCGAUUGACAUCUACGACUUGCAUGUUGUAGAAUGUAUAUGCAAUAAUGGAGGUUCAGAAGGCAUUCGUGACUAACGGACACACAUGCCAAUUAUAACACUCUCAAUUAUAUUAGAUUUCUAAAUAUUAUGUUAUUUUGCAAAAUAUAUAAUUUUUUAAGGGUGCUCACUUACCAAAAACUCUAUCCUGGCUCGAUUCAGUUUUGUCAUGUUCCUUGCAAAAAUGCAACUCCAACAUGGCUUUUCAUGACUUUGAUGCGUGAACCGUGUUUCCUUUGGUGAGGGAUCGUGGAUGCGUGAACCGUGUUUCCUUUGGUGUGGGAUCGUGGAAUUAUUGAAGAUACCAAAGUUUCCACACCCAACUUCACAUCAAUUCUCUGUUUUCUUUUGUUGUUGAUAGAGAAGGGUUGAGGAGAAAUAAAUUAUUGAUGGGUACGGUGGAAUAAAAGAAAGGAUCUUUGUCUCCAAAAACAAAUUUGUGGGGGCCUCUCAUAGUACUAGCUGGGUUUGCAUGGACUCUGAUACAAUAAAAUAUAAUGACGUGGGCAGGUAUGCAUCAGCACAUCAGAGUUCUUCAAGAUUCUGACACGGGAGUUGUGUUUUAGGUGUUGUGUGAGAUAGUUAAAUUAUUGAAGAUACCAAAGGUCCCAUCAUGUACGAUAGCAAAGUUUUGAAGAAGUUUGGAACACAAUGAUAAUCCACACCCAAGUUAUUGAAGAUACCAAAGGUCCCAUCAUGUACAAUAUUUUUUUUUGCGCACUAAAAUUAUAUACUUAUCCUUUUACUUUUCAAAAUUUAAGAAUGACUUGAAAGGCAUUUUUAUCUUUGUCUCAUCGCUUUUUUUAUAAUAAUGAUAUGUCCUUGUACCCCUUUUCAUAAUUUGUCGUAUAAAAACAUUAAUAAAUGAAUAAAAUAUGAUGACGUAAGCCAUGUAUGCAUCAGCACUUCAAAGUCCUCCAAGCUUUUCUUAUAGAGGCGCGUGAAGACAAUUCUGAUGGAAAAAAAAAAUCCGGUCGCUAUCUCAUCUGAAGCAGGGUUGUGGCGCAACUUUUAAGGUGGCGUGAUGGGCAAGUCGGGCGGCGAUGAGUUUUUUUUUUCUUACCUUUUUUUUUUCUCCUAAACUUUCAUAUUUGUGUCAGGCCUUUAAGAAUUUAGUUGUGUCCUCCGGUUUGUAUUUGUUUUGAGUUUGAUUCUCAUUCUUUUGAUUUCUAUUUAUUUUAAUGUUAAUGCUUCGUAAAGUUUUUUUUUUUAUCAAUUUCAUCUCUUCGUAUUUAAUUUAAUUUAUUUUUUGUAUCCAAUCUGAUCAUCAUUUUUUUUAUUGUUAUUUUUUAUCCUUUUCAUUUAUUUAUUUUUAUUUUGUCCUUUUAAUUCAUUUUUUUUCAAAUUCUGGUCCUCAAUUUUUUCAUUGCUCUUUUUCUUCAUUUAUUUUGUAAUCCCUGAUUAGUUUCUUUCAAUUAUUUAUGGUGCAAGAUUUAGUCUUCAUUGUUUUAUUUUUUUUAUUUUUUAUAAUUGAAAAUUUUGCUUUGUAAUUUUUUCGUGUUUGCCUUUUAUAAGAAAGUCCUAAUCUCAUGAUCUAGUCUACCAGUUUUAAUUAUUUUCCUUGUUUGAGUUCAGUCUUUUUUUAAAAUUCAUUUUAGAAAUUGUUUUCUUUUUAUUUUCAUCAUUUGACAUUGAUUUAUUAAGCCUUGAGCUUUGUGAUUGGUUCUGUUUUUUUUUUUUGUAGGGUUAUCCCUGUCAUAACCCCUUUUUUGAUUACUCUCUAAAUUCAUUUUUUCUCUCUUCUCUUUUUUCUCCUACCCGUGUUUAUUAGUAUUUUUCGGUGAAAAUAAGUUGAAAAUUAUUUUUUUUUUUGGAAAAACAAAUAAAAGUUUUAUAGAAGGGUUAAGGAAAAAACAUAAGAAAUUUAAAGAAUAAGGACCAAAUAAUAAAAAAAAAAAAACACAUAAAACUACAUGGUGGAUGGAUAGUUUUAACCACUGGGAGGUCAUGUUGCAUGCUACAACCAAAGUGUGAGGACGCCUUCUAUACGGUGACGCAUGUCAUGCACAUGCUAGUAACUUUUUGUGCUCCAUUGCGAGUGCAUAUUUUCCUUUGUGGGAAAAACAAUGAUAACAAACUAUUACUAAUAGUCUUAUAACCAUUAUUAUGAAUAUUAAUUGUAUUAUCAUUAGCGUAAUUAUUACUACUACUACUACUUUUAGUACUAUUAUUAUUAUUAUUUUUACUAUCAUGACUAUUACUACUACUAUCACUAUUAAUACCACUAUUAUUACUAAUAUUGUUGUCAUUAUUAUUACCAACAUUAUUAUUAUUAUUAUUAUUAUUAUUAUUAUUGUUUGACAAAUAAAAGGAAGGGAGAAGCUUCUUUUUAUUUGGAUAUUUGAGUGUUAUCGAUUAGUUGGAAAACUGUUUAAAGAUAAUUGAAAACGUGAGAAAGACAGCUCCUGAAUCUUGCUUUGCUUUGUUACCUUGCAUGCUUUUAUUGCUUCAGCACAAGAUGGGCAAUAUUCAUCAUCAGAUAUUUGUGUGUUUGUGUGUGUGUGUGUGUGUGUGAUAUAUAUAUAUAUAUAUAUGGAUGCAAGAGAAUAGUAACAAAGCAUCUAUUUAAUGCUUCUUUCAGUGCCUUUAUUUUGGAUCUUGUAAUUGGUCCAUUUAGAUCAUAUAAUAGAUACGUAUUGGUGUUUGUGGGCUGAUCCACAUCAAUUAUGGUUAUGAGAAAACCCUAAUUAGUCUUCAGAGUUCUAAGAUAAGGGACUAGUUACGCCAAAGAAAAUGUAUUAUCACCCUAAAGUAUCAUACCUAUAGUAAAUUUCAUUGCUACUUGUCUUUUAUCCCUAAUGGUCUGUUGUGCCCAAUCUACCGAUGGUGUAUCUACAUGGAUCUACUGUAAUGAGUUAAACCUAUUGUAGGUUUUAUUCCUAUCCGUUCUAAAGUUCUGGUUAUUUCUGUUACUUCCAAUUUGUUUGGGAAUUGAUAUUUAUAUCCCUAUUUACUCCAUAUCAUGACCCGUGACUAUUAAUAGUUUAUAAAGCCAUGUUUGUGAAUAAUUGGAUGGGUCUAUAUUAGGUUCAUUAAACCCAAUUCAAAUUCUAGGAUGGGAUGUCGCUAAACAAUUUGUUUAGGCAACAGUGAUCUAUGAAUAUUGCCCUAUUCAAGUUCAUUUAUCCUAUAUAACCAAGGUUCACUCGUAACUUUUACUGAAUAAGGGUUUUGUACCAUGAUCCUAAAAUGUCCAAGCAUUAACUAUUAUGGGUUAAUCUACUUAGUGGUGGGAUCUAGUGGCACAAAUACUUUAGACAAUAUUGGACUUAGAUAUUUUUAAGACUUAUUUUUUUUAUUUAAAAUCAAAAGAAACAACUAAUACUUUUAAUAUACAAUGUAAUGAUCCAUGUUGAGUUCAUUUACCCUAAAUACCAAGAGUGAAUAGCAAAACACAUUUUGACCUAAUUUUAAAACAACAAGGAUGAGUUGUAAAGGCUUGGAACAUAAUACUAAAAUGGCUUAACAUAAAUAUAAUAUCUUGCAGGUCAAUUCAAAAUCCUUAAGAUCUAGAGCUUGAUUUAGAUUUUGUUUUAUUUUAAAUUAUUUUAUGAUAUUGAAUUAGUUAUAUUUGGAUGACUCAACAUAUUGAUUCAUAACUUAGCUAUGUACUGCUUAUGUGAAUUGUAUUUUGAUGCUCAAAAAUUGAUUAUUUAUGAUUGUGUGUAUUGUAGUUUUUUUUGGGGAAGAGAGUUAUUGACAAAAUGAACUAUCACAGGAUGUCUCUGUUAAAAGAGUCGAAGAUACUUUUGUGACAUUCGAGUUGCGAUUAACAUCACUACAAUAUUUAACAGUUUUACCAACGGAAAUAUUCCGACUAAUUACCCAACAUACAACGUCUGUCAGCAUAGAGUCGUGUUUUAGGUGUUGUGUGAGAUAGUUAAAUUAUUGAAGAUACCAAAGGUCCCAUCAUGUACAAUAGCAAAGUUUUAAAUAAGUUUGGAACACAAUGAUAAUCCACACCCAAAUUCACUUCAAUUCUUUAAUAUUUCUUCAUUGUGUGGUCACUUAUCUGUAAUAUAAAUCACAAUCGAACAUAAAAAAAUUUGUAAUACACUGUCUCAUUAAUAAUAGCUAGUGUUUUUUUGUAAGGCUAGUGAAAAUAUUGACAGUCCACGAGCGAUGUUACACGUGAAGAUAUCAAAAUAAUAUUUAUUUUUAUUUUUAAAAAUUUAUUUUUGAUAUUAAGAUAUCAAAACGUUACAAAAACAUAAAAUAUUAAUUUGAAUAAAAAAUAAACAAAUUUAAAAACACGGUUGGACCACAAAACCAAAAAAGGCGUAACAUAGGUAUAACAUCUUGCAGAUCAAUUCAAAAUCAACAAGAUCAGCUUGAUUUUGAUUUUAUUUUAUUUUAAAUUGUUUUUUAUAUUGACUUAGUUAAAUUUAGAUGACUCAAUAUAUUGGUCCAUUGUUUAGUGAAUUUAGUGGUCCAUUGUUUAGUGAAUUUAGUCAAACCUGACAAGUCAAAGUCAAGAAAAUAAAAAAAAAUUAAAAUGAUAUCGUUUUGAAAAAAUAAAAUAGACCCGAGUUGACUCAAUAAUGUAAGAAUUAUUAAACCAAUGAUCCGUAGAUUAACUUACAUCUCUAUUUCUUGGAUCUAAAUAUAGGUCAGAAUUUGAGGCGGGAUUUUGAUACUUUUCCAAGUACCAAAAAAUAAAUAUCAUUUAAUUGUUAUCAAUUCCAUAAAAAAUUCAAUUUCUCCAAAAUUUCCAACAUAACAAUAAAAUUGAUAAAAUAUGAUUGUUACCCAUUAAAUAAAAGAAGAUCUUGUCUCCAAAAACAAAUAUGUGGGGGUCUCCAAAAACAAAUACUUUAGACAAUAUUGGACUUAAUUAGAUAUUUUUAAGAUUUAUUUUUUUAUUUAAAAUCAAAAGAAACAACUAAUACUUUUAAUAUACAAUAUAAUGAUUCAUGUUGAGUUCAUUUACCCUAAAUACCAAGAGUUAAUAGCAAAACACAUUUUGACCUAAUUUUAAAUCCUAGGAUGAAAUGUCGCUAAACAAUUUGUUUAUGCAACGGUGGUCUAUGGAUAAUGCCUUGUUCAAGUUCAUUUAUUCUAUAUUACCAGAGCUCACUCUUAAUUUUAUUGAAUAUGGGUUUUGUAACCUGAACUGAAAAUGUCCAAGCAUUAACUAUUAUGGGUUAAUAUACUUAGUGGUGGGAUCUAAUAGCACAAAUACUUUAGACAAUACUGGAUUUAGAUAUUUUUAAGACUUGUUUUUUAUUUAAAAUCAAAAGAUCUGCAAUAAUGGAGGUUCAGAAGGCAUUCGUGACUUACUGAUGGCACAUGCCAAUUAUAAUACUCUCAAUUAUACUUAGAUUUCUAAAUAUUGUUUUACUUGUGUUAUUUUACAAAAUAAUUUUUUAAGGGUGCUCACUUACCAAAAACUCUAUCCUGGCUAGAUUCAGUUUUGUCAUGUUCCUUGGAAAAAUGCAACUCGGCUUUUCAUGACUUUGAUACGUGAACCGUGUUUCCUUUGGCGUGGGAUCGUGGAAUUAUUGAAGAUACCAAAGUUGUGUGGUCUCUUUAAUAGCUACUGUUUUCUUUUGUUGUCGAUAGAGAAGGGUUGAGGAGAAAUAAAUAAUUCAUGGGUACGGUAGAAUAAAAGAAAAGAUCUUUUCUCCAAAAAAAAAUUUGUGGGGGGCUCUCAUAGUAGUAGCUGUGUUUGCAUGGGCUUUGAGUGGCGGCUUCAGCUUGAAAAAGAAAAGGGUGUAUUUGCUGGUGGCUAGUACGAGGAAAGGGAGACAUAAGGUUGUAAGGGUUAGAGUUAACUUGGUAAUACAAGAAUAAAAAUGAAUUGUAUGUGAUUCUACUUGGGUGCCGAUUGAAACUAUGUAUGGUGCUGGGGUAAAAUUUUUUUUUUUAGUAUAUUUUUAAAUUAUUUUAAUAUGUCGGUUUUAAAAAUAAUAAAAAAUUAUUAUUUUAAUAUAUUUUUAAAUAAAAAAACAAUUUAAAAAUAACUAAUUCUAUACUUACAUGGCCUUCAAUACUCGGGUUUCAUGUACAAAAAGUCCCAUGAUGUACGAUAAUCCACACUUAAAUUAUUGAAGAUACCAAAGGUCCCAUCAUGUAUAACUUUUUUUUCACACUAAAAUUAUAUACUUAACCUUUUACUUUUCAAAAUUUGACAAUGACUUGAAAAGCAUUUUUAUCUUUGUCAGCUUUUUUUUAUAAUAAUGAUAUGUUCUUGGAUUUUUUUUAUAAUUUAUUUUAUAAAAAUAUUAAUAAAUUAAUAAAAUAUAAUGACGUGGGCAGGUAUGCAUCAGCACAUCAGAGUUCUUCAAGAUUCUAACACGGGAGUCGUGUUUCAUAUGUGUUGUGUGAGAUAGUUAAAUUAUUGAAGAUACCAAAGGUCCCAUCAUGUACAACAUCAAGCUACUGUUUUUUUUGUUAUAUAUAUAUAUAGAGAGAGAGAGAGAGAGAGAGAGAGAUGGGUGGAGGAGAAAUAAAUAAUUGAUGGGGACGGUGGAAUGGAGAGAUAAGCUUGUUUGGGUUUUUUAUUGUUAUUAUUUUUAAUUUUUUUUUCAUUAAUUUUUAUUGUUCACAACAACAUUAGUGUUUAAUAAUGUGAUAUAAGUUAUUUUUUUAAAGGUUUUUUACUUGUAAAUAAAUUAAAAUAAUAGUAGUAGCUGGGUUUGCAUGGACUCUGACACGGUAGUAGUAGCUGGGUUUGCAUGGACUCUGACACGGGAGUCGUGUUUCAUGUGUUGUGUGAAGAAAGUUAAAUUAUUGAAGAUACCAAAGGUCCCAUACAAAUUCACAAUGAUAAUCCACACCCAAAUUCACUUCAAUUCUUUAAUAUUUCUUCAUUGUGUGGUCACUUGCCAGUACUAUAAAUCACUAUCGAACAUGAGAGCUUUGUGAUCAGAUGCAGACCAAAGUCCCUUUGGAGUGUUAAAAUUGUUGAUCUAAGCUACCUCUCUUCCGUUAUCCUCUUAAAUCUUCUUCCUCUUAAAUAUUACACGCAUAAAUAGAUAUGGAGGAGAUUCGCCGGGCUGCUGGAGCUUAUUAUGAGAAUCUGCCCGAUGAGGAGAAGAGAAAUGCCAGAUUUUCUUUCAAUGAAAUGGACAAAAACAAAGACGGGAAAAUUAACCUAGAUGAAUACGUGGCGUACCUCAAGAAAGAUAACAACACGGUUCUUCCAAGCUUGUUUACAGAGCUGGACAAGGACGGCAAUGGAACCUUGGAUUUUGAUGAAGCAAUCGUCUUGUACUACAUCAUGCAGAGUGGAAGGGCUAUAAUUUGCCAGUCUUGUAAGACGUUCUUGGCAGGAGCAUACUUCACUUGCUCUCAGUGUUUCUUCAAUGAUGAUGAUUCAGUUAGCACCUUUGAUGUUUGUUGUGAUUGUUAUGGUGGUAAAAAGUUCAGACACAACGAUGGGCACAUCUUCUGCGAUAACUAUACUUUACUUUGUCGAAGCAGGAGCGCGACACAAGCGGCCCCCAUUCAGGUAAUUAAUUUUAGAAACUAAAACAAUAAGAUAUUUUUACUAUUUAUUACUAUACAUUUGCCAAAAUUCACUGAUAACUCAUUGUUUAUGGAGCAUUACGUAUGGAGUUUCCUUCAACAUUGGGUUUUGUUUUAUUAUUAUAUUUCUUCUCUGCUUUACAUUUGAAUUCCCAUUCUUCGUAUUGAUUGAAGUUCUUUAAUUCUCUGGAUGAAGAGAUUAAUUAUAUUUUCAAGACUGGCUUCAAAAUAACUAGUGGAAUCCUCAUAUUUUCAUUAAUACAAAUAUUCUCUCCAUCUAAUUGAUAAAUAAAUACUAUAUUAAGUAUAAAAAUAUGUUUGCUUAUAAAAAUAUGAACUCAGCCUCUAAUAUAUCUGCGUAUUAUCUUUUAUUUCAGAAGCGAACCAAGGUGCUUAACAUCCUUAAAAAGGGACUGCAAGUUGCAGGCAUAACUAGUAGUGAUCUUGAAGGCAUAAGUACUGAUAUUGGUGAUGGUAUUGGUGAUGGUGAAGGUUCAUCAAAAUCUAACUGUAGCAUUAUGUGAAAGAAACCAAUGAUGCAUUUUAUCACCAGCCAAAUGCAUCCAAUCGUACAAUAAAUAUUGCCGAUGAGGUAAGAGGAAAUGACUGAAAAUUUACUGGAAACUCUUCAAGUGAGCUCAGAUCCAGUAGAGAAUAAACUCAAGUUACUUUAUAUAGAGCUGUAUGUUUGUGGCAAUAAUUGUAUUCUCAUGCAUUCGAUCUCCAUAGUCUCAUGUGUACUUUUGGAGGGCAUUGAGAACUUGUUUAAUCUUAAGUUUUUUGAUAAUGUAGGUGUUCGGGUCAGCUAGCUUACACGCACCUCGAUUAGUCCCACAGACCCUAAAAUUAACGACCAUAAAAAUCUUCAAUAAUCCUGAGAUUUUUGAGACUCGAACUCAUGAUCUCCAGAGAGUCAGGUGGAAAUUUUUCUCUAGUUUUAUCUUCGCUAUAUGUUUUGUCAGGUGGUAUUAGAGCAGGUCAACAUCCGGAUCAAUGGCAAAUCGUGAAGAGAAUUGUGGAGUAAUUGGCCAAUACAAUCUCUGUGAUGAUGAUCAGGAGAUGCAGGUUGUUUGAGAUCAACUAAAUCAUUAUUCAUUAAUGAUAGCAGCUUUAGAGGGGCAAAUGCAAACUAGGUUGGGUGAAACAUUCUCAUGUAUUAAAAUUAUUUUUAACAAGCAGCUUGUAUCUUAAUAUCAAACACUCAACCCUGAUUUUUGGCACUUGAGAAUACAAUCUCUUUAUCAGUAACAACAUAUUAAUUUUAUACAAUGAAAUUUAAUUGAAAAUUGGAGCCCCUAAGCAACUAAAUAUUAAUUUUAUACAAUGAAAUCUAAUGCAUGUGUGGGUUAAUGACCUAUGGUCAUGGUUUUAAAAGAUGAGUUGAGUCUCCUUUAGGCAUAGCUAAGAGACUGGAUCCUGUUCAUGCGAUUUGACCCACGAGUGAACUGGUAAAAAGUAAAACAUUCAGGUGUCGGGUUCAGUUUUACGAGUGAACUGGUAAAAAGGAAAAACUCUAUCCUGGCUAGAUUCAGUUUUGUCAUGUUCCUUGGAAAAAUGCAACUCGGCUUUUCAUGACUUUGAUACGUGAACCGUGUUUUAUGCGGUGUGAGAUAGUGGAAUUAUUGAAGAUACAACUUCACUUCAAUUCUUUAAUAUUUUUUCGUUGUGUGGUCUCUUUAAUAGUAGUUUUUUUUUUUUGGUUGAUAGAGAAGGGUCGAGGAGAAAUAAAUUAUUGAUGGGUACGGUGGAAUAAAAGAAAGGAUGAUCUUGUCUCCAAAAGCAAAUUUGUGGGAUGGAUUGGUGUGGUUCCUUUACGCCUAGGACACCAGAAUAUCUAAAAAGGCAUGAGACGAAGAAAGGCAUGAGAGAAAAGCAUAUUGCACAUAUUGGCUAGUGAUUGUGAGGCCACAAUUCUUGACUGGGCAUAGUUGUAGAUGAGCUUUGAGUGGCGGCUGCAGCUUGAAAAAGAAAAGGGUGUAUGUAUAGCGAACCAAGGUGCUUAAAAUCUUUAAAAAGGGACUGCUAGUUGCGGGCAUAAAUAGUGAUCUUGGGUAUUGGUGAUGGUGAUGGUAAUGGUGGUGAUGGUGGUGGUGAUGGUGGUGAUCUAACUGUAGCAUUAUGUGAAAGAAACCAAUGAUGCAUUUUAUCACCAGUCAAAUGCAUCCAAUAGUAGAAUAUAUAAUUGGCGAUGAGGUAAGAGGAAAUGACUGAAAAUUUACUGGAAACUCUUCAAGUGAGCUCAGAUCCAGUAGAGAAUAAACUCAAGUUACUUUAUAUAGAGCUGUAUCUUUUUUGUGGCAAUUGUAUUCUCAUGCAUUCGAUCUCCAUAGUCUCAUGUGUGCUUUUGGAGGGCAUUGAGAACUUGUUACUUUUUUUUUUUUUUUUUUGAUAAUGUAGGUGUUCGGGGUCAGCUAGCUUACACCGCACCUCGAUUAGUCCCACAGACCCUAAAAUUUACGACCAUAAAAAUUCUUCAUAUCCUGAGAUUUUUGAGACUCGAACUCAUGAUNNNNNNNNNNNNNNNNNNNNNNNNNNNNNNNNNNNNNNNNNNNNNNNNNNNNNNNNNNNNNNNNNNNNNNNNNNNNNNNNNNNNNNNNNNNNNNNNNNNNNNNNNNNNNNNNNNNNNNNNNNNNNNNNNNNNNNNNNNNNNNNNNNNNNNNNNNNNNNNNNNNNNNNNNNNNNNNNNNNNNNNNNNNNNNNNNNNNNNNNNNNNNNNNNNNNNNNNNNNNNNNNNNNNNNNNNNNNNNNNNNNNNNNNNNNNNNNNNNNNNNNNNNNNNNNNNNNNNNNNNNNNNNNNNNNNNNNNNNNNNNNNNNNNNNNNNNNNNNNNNNNNNNNNNNNNNNNNNNNNNNNNNNNNNNNNNNNNNNNNNNNNNNNNNNNNNNNNNNNNNNNNNNNNNNNNNNNNNNNNNNNNNNNNNNNNNNNNNNNNNNNNNNNNNNNNNNNNNNNNNNNNNNNNNNNNNNNNNNNNNNNNNNNNNNNNNNNNNNNNNNNNNNNNNNNNNNNNNNNNNNNNNNNNNNNNNNNNNNNNNNNNNNNNNNNNNNNNNNNNNNNNNNNNNNNNNNNNNNNNNNNNNNNNNNNNNNNNNNNNNNNNNNNNNNNNNNNNNNNNNNNNNNNNNNNNNNNNNNNNNNNNNNNNNNNNNNNNNNNNNNNNNNNNNNNNNNNNNNNNNNNNNNNNNNNNNNNNNNNNNNNNNNNNNNNNNNNNNNNNNNNNNNNNNNNNNNNNNNNNNNNNNNNNNNNNNNNNNNNNNNNNNNNNNNNNNNNNNNNNNNNNNNNNNNNNNNNNNNNNNNNNNNNNNNNNNNNNNNNNNNNNNNNNNNNNNNNNNNNNNNNNNNNNNNNNNNNNNNNNNNNNNNNNNNNNNNNNNNNNNNNNNNNNNNNNNNNNNNNNNNNNNNNNNNNNNNNNNNNNNNNNNNNNNNNNNNNNNNNNNNNNNNNNNNNNNNNNNNNNNNNNNNNNNNNNNNNNNNNNNNNCAGCAAAGACAACUGAAGCCGACGAUCAGACCACCUCAUUCUCCUCCAUCUUCGCCGGCCAGACGCAACAGAAGCACAACCUCCGACAGCCCCUUGGUCACACAGCCCACCGCCUGAAAACAGAGAAGAAGGGGAAACGAAAAGAAAACACUGAGCUGCAGAAAAAAACUGAACCAGAGAAGCAGAUCUGCAAAACAAAAACAAAAAAUUAAAAUCGACUGUGUUGUGCGUUUUCUAUUAUUGCAGGUAAUGGUGUUCCUCACAACCGUCAGGGAAGGGAAGAGAAGAAGAUAGCCGACCAGAUCCGUCCAUUUUCCAGGCGUUGUUUGCGGCGGCGCGUGAACCCACGCACCGCCAGUGGCGGUGGCGCGUGGGAAGACGCGCCGCCACUGUUCAUGCAGAUCCAGAAGGUUUUCCAGCACUGUUAUGGAUUUUGGGGGGCUGUUUUGUAAUUUUCAAAUUUUUUAAUGUAAUUUUUUGUUUAGUUUUGAAUUUUUAUUAUUUGUAGUGUUGAUGUAACAAAAAAAAACAAAGAAAAGAAAAGAAACAAAAAAUAUAGUAAAAGUGAAUGUAUGUGUUUAGAUUUGUUUUAUUUUUUUAUAUAUUUUUUUUAUGAUAAAAUUGUAAAGAUUAAAGAAGAAUUUAAUAUUUUGAUUGGAUCACAGUCAAGAAUUAUUAACUUAUACGUAAGUUGUAUUUCUAAUAUCCGAUGAAAAAACAAUUAUUAAAACUUCUUUAAACACAUCAAAUUCGCGAAGCAGCUUACCUCAGGUAGGGUGCGUUAGGGGUGCUAAUACCUUCCCUAACCACAACCAGUCCCUUACCCGCGAAUCUCUGACAAGACUAGUACAUCCGGUUUCCUAGUAGCCUUUAAUAAAUUACUAGGUGGCGACUCCAACGAAUCAAGUCAAGCAAACGCAACGACAACGAAAAGAUCGCCAGCCGACGCCGCGCGGAUUUCACAUGCGACAGAAUGGUGACUCCACUGGGGAAGGUACUGUUUCUGACAAUAUUGGACUAAGCUUUGUAUAUUUGAUGUGUUUAAGUUUUUGCAUUUUUGUCUUGUUUUAUUUUUGUUUUAUCCAUGCAUUUUUAGAAUUGUUUCAUGCAUCACCUGUAUUUAUUUUUGAAAGCACACACAAGCUUCUAAGUUAGGUGGUGAAUUAGCGAUCUGUCCUAUGACUAUUGGUCAGGGUUCAGAUGCGUGAAAAACCGAACUCAUAUCUGAGUGCUUGCUUGGAAAUGGUGGGUAUACGUACCUUAACUAUUUCUUGCAACGCCCCUAUACUGUCUUUACGAAGAUCGUCACUAGGCAGAUAUGAGACCCUUUUGAGACCAGGUAGAAAACCUACCCAUGUUCACAUAAUGAAUAGAACUUCUCCUUAGGUUGUAUGUGCUAUUUUUAUUUGCAUCAAGACAAACCCUUCUUGAAGCAUCUUGAACUCAAGACUUGUGGGUGACCCAAUAGCCGUCACUCAGAAAAUUUUCAUUGUAGAGUUUGGGCAAGAAUCACGAUUCUUGUUUCAUCAUACAAGAGUUACGACCAUAUGUCACCCCUCGAAGGGCGAGUUCAUCAUAUAGAUUACAUGUUCAUACAUUUUUCAUGCAUGCACCAGAAUGAAAAGUAGGUCCCCUACGAGUCUACAACACUCGAUUUUGAACGAAAAAAAACACGGAAGAUGAAGAGUGUGCUCGCCGUAAUGUCUAUUUUUAAGAAGAGUUGGAGUUUCUGAAGACAUGUGUGACUCGCCUCUAGCUUACUCGAGCAAAUACUGAAAAAUAACUCUAUGAAAGUUCCUUCCAACCGACCGUUCAUCUUUGUUCAAAACCCAACAACGACUCAGCCUGAAAAAAUUGGGGGCAAACAUGGUCAAGAUGCCUCAACACAAUCUAGCAUUUCUACAAAAAGCUUUUGUGGGAAGGCUAACCGAAGGGGAAUUGCACCACCGGUGCAGAAUGGAGCCUCUUCUUGUUCUGAAAAAAAAAAUACCUCUGUUUGAUCAUGCCUGCAAAACUUCUUGAUGUUGUUUCAACCUGUUCCGGUUUUUGUUGGUAAUGUGGCUUAAAAUUUCAUAAGACUUUCAUUGUCAAAUGAGCCUUUCUUGUUAAUAAGAUCAUGUGUUUUCCUGUGUUCAUGACAUGCCUUCAUUUUUGUUGUUGUUUCAUGCAAAUAACACAUUGAACAUAACCUUUAAGCAUGAAACCAUUACACCAAGAAUAUUUAGGUAUGUUUCCCCUUUCUUCCAAAACUAUGCAUGAUCGCACACAAGGAUUUUUGGGAAUUCAAAGUUUAGUACAAAAACAAAAAUCAUGUUGAUAUUUGUCCGAAACAAACGAGUUCUGGAAAUGCAGGUGAUUCCUUGGAAAGGUAACAAUACACCUAAAAAAACAAAAACACCAUGAAAUGACUCCAAAGUUGAGUUUUAUUUAAAUGAAUAAUGAGAAAUCACGUUGCAUACUCGCAUGAAAGCAAGACUUACCGAUCUUAAAUGCAUGAGUUUGGAAUGAAGAAAGGCCAUCUUUGAUAAUCUUUUCACAAGGCUAAAAUAUAUCAUUUGUAGUCCCCUUUUGAGCCUAGUAACAUUUUUUGGAAAUAGCUGUGGCUAGGAUCACACACUACACUGGGGGCAAGUGCAAGAGACAUAGAAAAAAAAAACCUCAAUGAUUGAAAGUGCCCAAACAACACUGGAGGGCAUAAAAGAAAAUUCUCAAUCAUCAAAAGUGUCCAAACAAAGCUUGGGGGCAUGAAAAAAAAUCCAAAGGAUCCAAAAAUUUUGAGCAAAAAAAAAAAAACCAAUACAAUGAUGCUCAAAAUCAAAUGAAAAAAAAACAAAAACAAAGGGAAAGAGCCCAAGCCCAACACUAGGGGGCACGAUAGACCAUUUUGGAAAGACAUUCCAAAGACAAAAGGUCAGCAAACAAGCACAAGUGAUCCUUAGUCUUGAAAUCCCUUAAACACCUUUUGAGCUUGCAAAUAUCAUUUUCUUCAUAACCAAUAGCCCGAGCCUACAUUACGUGCCUAAUCAAGCCCUUUCUGAUCAAAGACAAGCAAUCUGGAUCGGUAGGCAGUGCUUCCUCAUGCGAAACAAAAUCAUUAUUCAUGCAAAUUAAAUGAAUGCUUUGAAGACCGGUUCUCAGUAACUCUCAAAUUAAAUCUUAAACUUUUUUGACCAACCAAAUGUCACUUCAUAUUUUUCACCAAAAGCAAAACAAAAAGUUUUCAUCACUUCUGGAAACCUCUCCAUAGGAAUCACUUGAAUUUCUUUAGAAAGAGUUUGCUUUGAAUCAAUGUCAAAAUGAUUUCUGUGUCUGGAAUAGCUUUGAAAUUCCAAAAUUUCUGCAUGAAAACAACUCCUGGCCAAACCUUCCUUCACAUAGCCUCAUCCCUAAACCCGAUUUGAACACUUGAGGGCAUGAUCAAGCUUGGGGGCAAUAAAAAAAAUGCAUGGUAAGGCUGGCUCCAUGAUUCCCUUUCUAAGAGAAAUACCGGGCAAAAUGGGCAACCCUUGAGAUAAAGGGCGGAGGACAAAGAAGUAUGAUGACAUCAAGUCCUUCCAAGAGGUCAAGAUCACAAGAUAGUACUCAAGUAAGUAAGAGCGAAAAAGCCAUCGAUGUUUACUAUCAACACUCCAACUUUUGAGAAAAGAAAGACAUCAUGGAGAAAUGGGGACCUAUAUUCAUAACUUAGUUACAUUUGGAUGACUCAACAUAUUGAUUCAUAACUUAGUUAUGUACUGCUCAUGUGAAUUGUAUUUUGAUGCUUGGAAAUUGAUUAUUUGUGAUUGUGCGCAAUGCAGUUUUUUCAGGAAAGAGAGAUGAUGACAAAAUAAAUUAUAACCUGAUAUCUCUGAUAAAGAAGUCGUAGAUACCUUCUGUGACAUGUGAGUUGCAAUUGACAUUUAUGACUUGCAUGUUGUAGAUUGUAUCUACAAUAAUGGAGGGUCAGAAGUCAUUCCUUACUGAUGGCACAUGCCAGUUAUAAUACUCUCAAUUAUACUUAGAUUUCUAAAUAUUGUUUUGCUUGUGUUAUUUUACAAAAUAUUUUUUUUAAGGGUGCUAACUUACCAAAAACUCUAUCCUAGCUAGAUUCAGUUUGUCAUGUUCCUUGGAAAAAUGCAACUCGGCUUUUCAUGACUUUGAUACGUGAACCGUGUUUCCUUUGGUGUGGGAUCGUGGAAUUAUUGAAGAUACCAAAGUUGUGUGGUCUCUUUAAUAGCUACUGUUUUCUUUUGUGGUUGAUAGAGAAGGUUGAGGAGAAAUAAAUAAUGCAUGGGUACGGUGAAAAGAUCUGUCUCCAAAAACAAAUUUAUGGGGGCCUCUCAUAGGUUGUAUUUGCUGGUGGCUAGUACGAGGAAAGGGAGACAUAAGGCUGUAAGGGCUAGAGUUAACUUGGUAAUACAAGAAUAAAAAUGAAUUGUGUGUGAUUCUACUUGGGUGCCGAUUGAAACUAUGUAUGGUGCUGGGGUAAAAUUUGUUUUUUUAGUAUAUUUUUAAAUUAUUUUAAUAUGUUGGUUUUAAAAAUAAUAAAAAAUUAUUAUUUUAAUAUAUUUUUAAAUAAAAAAACAAUUUAAAAAUAACUAAUUCUAUACUUACAUGGCCUUCAAUACUCGGGUUUCAUGUACGAAAAGUCCCAUCAUGUACGAUACUCUACACUUAAAUUAUUGAAGAUACCAAAGGUCCCAUCAUGUAUAACUUUUUUUUCACACUAAAAUUAUAUACUUAACCUUUUACUUUUCAAAAUUUGAGAAUGACUUGAAAAGCAUUUUUAUUUUUGUCAGCUUUUUUUAUAAUAAUGAUAUGUUCUUGGAUUCUUUUUUAUAAUUUAUUUUAUAAAAAUAUUAAUAAAUUAAUAAAAUAUAAUGACAUGGGCAGGUAUGCAUCAGCACAUUAGAGUUCUUCAAGAUUCUGACACGAGUCGUGUUUCAUAUGCGUUGUGUGAGAUAGUUAAAUUAUUGAAGAUAGCAAAGGUCCCAUCAUGUACAACAUCAAGCUACUGUUUUUUUUGUUAUAUAUAUAUAUAUAUAUAUAUAUAUAUAUAGAGAGAGAGAGAGAGAGAGAGAGAGGGGUGGAAAAGAAAUAAAUAAUUGAUGGGGACGGUGGAAUGGAGAGAUAAGCUUGUUUGGGUUUUUUAUUGUUAUUAUUUUUAACUUUUUUUUUUCAUCAAUUUUUAUUGUUCACAACAACAUCUAGUGUUUAAUAAUGUGAUAUAAAUUAUUUUUUAAAAGGAUUUUUACUUAUAAAUAAAUCAAAAUAAUAAUUUUUUUAUUUUUUAUAUUAACACAUCAAAAUGAUACAAAAAUAUAAAAAAUUUAAAAACACGGUUGGAACAUAAUACCAAAAAAACCUAACAUAGGUAAAAUAUCUUGCAAAUCAUCCAAAUUAACUUCAAUUCUUUAAUAUUUCUUUAUUGUGUGGUCACUUAUCAGUAAUAUAAAUCACUAUCGAACAGAAGAAAUUUGUAAUACACUGUCUCAUUAAUAAUAGCUACUGUUUUCUUUUGUUGUUGAUAGAGAAGGGUUGAGGAGAAAUAAAUAAUUCAUGGGUACGGUGGAAUUAAUAAAAGAAAAGAUCUUUGUCUCCAAAAACAAAUUUGUGGGGGGCUCUCAUAGUAGUAGCUGGGUUUGCAUGGACUCUGACACGGGAGUCGUGUUUCAUGUGUUGUGUGAGAAAGUUAAAUUAUUGAAGAUACCAAAGGUCCCAUACAAAUUCACAAUGAUAAUCCACACCCAAAUUCACUUCAAUUCUUUAAUAUUUCUUCAUUGUGUGGUCACUUGCCAGUACUAUAAAUCACUAUCGAACAUGAGAGCUUUGUGAUCAGAUGCAGACCAAAGUCCCUUUGGAGUGUUAAAAUUGUUGAUCUAAGCUACCUCUUCCAUUAUCCUCUUAAAUCUUCUUCCUCUUAAAUAUUACACGCAUAAAUAGAUAUGGAGGAGAUUCGCCGGGCUGCUGGAGCUUAUUAUGAGAAUCUGCCCGAUGAGGAGAAGAGAAAUGCCAGAUUUUCUUUCAAUGAAAUGGACAAAAACAAAGACGGGAAAAUUAACCUAGAUGAAUACGUGGAGUAUCUCAAGAAAGAUAACAACACGGUUCUUCCAAGCUUGUUUACAGCGCUGGACAAGGAUGGCAAUGGAACCUUGGAUUUUGAUGAAGCAAUCGUCUUGUACUACAUCAUGCAGAGUGGAAGGGCUAUAAUUUGCCAGUCUUGUAAGACGUUCUUGGCAGGAGCAUACUUCACUUGCUCUCAGUGUUUCUUCAAUGAUGAUGAUUCAGUUAGCACCUUUGAUGUUUGUUGUGAUUGUUAUGGUGGUAAAAAGUUCAGACACAACGAUGGGCAC